UACGGAGGGUGCAAGCGUUAUCCGGAUUCACGGGGUUUAAAGGGUGCGUAGGCGGGCUGGUAAGUCAGUGGUGAAAUCUCCAGGCUUAACUUGGAAACUGCCAUUGAUACUAUCAGUCUUGAAUACCGUGGAGGUCAGCGGAAUAUGUCAUGUAGCGGUGAAAUGCUUAGAUAUGACAUAGAACACCAAUUGCGAAGGCAGCUGGCUACACGAAUAUUGACACUGAUGCACGAAAGCGUGGUGAUCAAACAGG
rnacentral:rRNA from 1 species